GGAGCGAUCGCCACUGGUAAGGCAAGCUGUUUGCUAAACAGUCGUGGUUUUAUCGCCAUUGCAGGUUCAAUUCCUGUUCGCUCCG
rnacentral:tRNA from 1 species